UACGAAGGGGGCUAGCGUUGCUCGGAAUUACUGGGCGUAAAGCGCACGUAGGCGGCUUUCUAAGUCGGGGGUGAAAUCCUGGAGCUCAACUCCAGAACUGCCUUCGAUACUGGAAAGCUCGAGUCCGGGAGAGGUGAGUGGAACUGCGAGUGUAGAGGUGAAAUUCGUAGAUAUUCGCAAGAACACCAGUGGCGAAGGCGGCUCACUGGUCCGAUACUGACGCUGAGGCGCGAAAGCGUGGGGAGCAAACAGG
rnacentral:rRNA from 1 species